rnacentral:rRNA from 1 species
AUUGAACGCUGGCGGCAUGCCUUACACAUGCAAGUCGAACGGCAGCACGGGAGCAAUCCUGGUGGCGAGUGGCGAACGGGUGAGUAAUAUAUCGGAACGUGCCCAGUCGUGGGGGAUAACGUAGCGAAAGCUACGCUAAUACCGCAUACGAUCUAUGGAUGAAAGCGGGGGAUCGCAAGACCUCGCGCGAUUGGAGCGGCCGAUAUCAGAUUAGGUAGUUGGUGAGGUAAAGGCUCACCAAGCCGACGAUCUGUAGCUGGUCGGAGAGGACGACCAGCCACACUGGGACUGAGACACGGCCCAGACUCCUACGGGAGGCAGCAGUGGGGAAUUUUGGACAAUGGGCGCAAGCCUGAUCCAGCAAUGCCGCGUGCAGGAUGAAGGCCUUCGGGUUGUAAACUGCUUUUGUACGGAGCGAAAAGGCUUCCACUAAUACUGGGGGCUCAUGACGGUACCGUAAGAAUAAGCACCGGCUAACUACGUGCCAGCAGCCGCAGUAACAC